rnacentral:rRNA from 1 species
UUUAAAGAGAGUUUGAUCCUGGCUCAGGACGAACGCUGGCGGCGUGCCUAAUACAUGCAAGUCGAACGAACGGAGGAAGAGCUUGCUCUUCCAAAGUUAGUGGCGGACGGGUGAGUAACACGUGGGCAACCUGCCUGUAAGUUGGGGAUAACUCCGGGAAACCGGGGCUAAUACCGAAUGAUAGAAUGUGGCGCAUGCCACGCUUUUGAAAGAUGGUUUCGGCUAU